CCCUUAGAUGUUCGGGGCUGCACGCGCGCUACACUGAAGGAAUCAGCGUGCUAAAACCAUUGUCGAAAGGCAUUGGUAAACCCAUUAAAAUCCUACGUGAUUGGGAUCGGGAAUUGCAAUUAUUUCCCUUGAACGAGGAAUUCCCAGUAAGUGUGGGUCAUAAGCUCGCGUUGAUUACGUCCCUGCCCUUUGUACACACCGCCCGUCGCUGCCCGGGACUGAGCCGUUUCGAGAAAAGCGGGGACUGCUGCUGUCGGGGCUUUCGGGCCUUGGCUUCGGUGGAAACCGCUUUAAUCGCAGUGGCUUGAACCGGGCAAAAGUCGUAACA
rnacentral:rRNA from 1 species